AUUGAACGCUGGCGGCAUGCCUUACACAUGCAAGUCGAACGGCAGCAUGAUCUAGCUUGCUAGAUUGAUGGCGAGUGGCGAACGGGUGAGUAAUACAUCGGAACGUGCCCUGUAGUGGGGGAUAACUAGUCGAAAGAUUAGCUAAUACCGCAUACGACCUGAGGGUGAAAGUGGGGGACCGCAAGGCCUCAUGCUAUAGGAUCGGCCGAUGUCUGAUUAGCUAGUUGGUGAGGUAAAGGCUCACCAAGGCGACGAUCAGUAGCUGGUCUGAGAGGACGAUCAGCCACACUGGGACUGAGACACGGCACAGACUCCUACGGGAGGCAGCAGUGGGGAAUUUUGGACAAUGGGCGAAAGCCUGAUCCAGCAAUGCCGCGUGUGUGAAGAAGGCCUUCGGGUUGUAAAGCACUUUUGUCCGGAAAGAAAUGGCUCUGGUUAAUACCUGGGGUCGAUGACGGUACCGGAAGAAUAAGGACCGGCUAACUACGUG
rnacentral:rRNA from 1 species